GAUGAACGCUGGCGGCGUGCCUAAUACAUGCAAGUCGAGCGAACAGACGAGGAUCUUGCUUCUCUGACGUUAGCGGCGCACGUGUGAGUCACACGUGUAUCACCUACCUAUCAGACUGGUAUAACUUCGGGACACCGGAUCUAAUACCGUAUAAUAUCUUGAACCGCAUUGUUCAAUAGUGAAAGACGGUCUUUCUGUCACUUAUAGAUGCAUCCGGGCUGCAUUAGCUAGUUGGUAAGUUAACGGCUUACCAAGGCAACGAGGCAUAGCCGACCUGAGAGGGGGAUCGGCCACAUGGGAAGUGAGACACGGACCAGACGCCUAAGGGAGGCAGCAGUAGGGAAUCUUCCGCAGUGGGCGAAAGCAUGACGGAGCAACGCCGAGUGAGUGAUGAAGGUCUUCGGAGCGGAAAACUCUGUUAUUAGGGAAGAACAUAUGUGUAAGUAACUGUGCACAUCUUGACGGUACCUAAUCAGAAAGCAACGGCUAACUACGUG
rnacentral:rRNA from 1 species